AAUUUAUGGGGCUGACACUGAUGAUGUUGACAGUCAAAAUAGUAUUGCAAAGAGCCUGAAAAUAAUCUAGCUGCAGAAUCAUCUACCAAAACUGAUUCCUGCCUGCAUGUACAAGGUGGAUGCUGCAGCAUUGCUCAGAGUGGCCACAGAUCUGCCACUCCUUGAAAGUCCAUCAUCAGAGGGAGAGAAAGAGGAAGUAUGAAGGCGUAUCUGUCUGCAUAGACUAGGAAAAUCUGGCAGAGGAUGAGAACCUAGUAACUCUAAAGUCACU
rnacentral:lncRNA from 1 species